UCCCUCACAUGCAGCCAACUCCUGCAGGGCACUCCAGGAAGCCUGAUGAAAGCGUUGCUGGUAUUACCCAAAAUGAUCUUCAGUUUCAUUGAAGAGAUCAGACCAAGAAGAAGAGAAAGAAAGGUCCAGGAUGGGUUAAAGAGUCACUCCCAGCACUUUUUGGAUUCAUUGGGUCCAGCUCAAAUCCACGGGACAAACAUUUUGUUGCCACAAGAGCCCAGAGGAUUUAUAAUCUGCAGUUCCUUUCAGUCCCCUGGCAGCCGUUUCCAGCCAGGACGUGUUUUUUGGUUUUUUGGAAGAACACGUUUUCAUUCAAGAGAUGUUACAGCAAAAUUCAAGCAGGGUCUGCAGUGGUCUGUGUCCGAAGGCAACAAAGCCAGCUUUCUCCUCGGGUUUGGGUUUCUUUUCAGCACUUACCAACUUUGUCUCACAACACCCUUGAGGAGGCAAAAGCGCUUUUUGUUCCUUUAUUAACAGGCAAGGGAAGCGGGACAUUAAAAUCCCGGUGGUGCAGGAGGAGGCAGCCCUGGGGAUGCCUUGGUGGGGCAAAGAGGGGGUGUGGGUGAUGCUUUGGGUACCCCCUGGCCCCUGCUCACCUUACCCACACUAACCUCCUCUUACAAAUUUAAUCCCUCAAAAUUCAGAGCCACAAAUUUCUGGGAUAGCUGCUUCACUGAGAAGGCAGAGGAUUUAUUUGCCGCUAACUUCUUUGGAGAGUUAUUUUUUUCCCUCUCCAGCCUGCACAUGGCCCUGCCAUCCCUGCUGCCCCUCGCCAGUUUUAAGGCAUUUGUACACAGAUCCCUGUGGAGGAAAUGGGCUCUUUUUGUCCCAUAUUGCAGAUGGCAGCUAUGAGAGAAGAAGAUUUAUGUCACUUGCCCAACUUCGCCCUGGAAGUCUUUGGCAGAGAUUUGCACCCCGGUCUCCAACCUCACGCUACAAUUUGUGACCAUCGCUCCUGGCUCCACUUCAGCCUCUUCUCUCUCAAAGCAGAGAUAAGGACAAUUUCCAUUUUUCACCCUUUUAUAACAAAUCUCAUGAUAAUUUAAUAAUAUAUUUUUUUUAAAACCCUCUCUUUGAAGUGGUUUGAGACUGUGGAAAACUCCACUUUCAUUAAAAGGAAAAUUAAAGUUGUGGACAAAAAGGCUGAAGCUUUUUGUUUCAAGAAAGACUAGAAACUGUAAUCUAACAGAAAAAUUAAACACUAAAAAACAAUCUGCUGCUCCAAGGGUCAUCCUGUGAUUUACAUGGAGUAAUUCAUGAUUUUCCAGCAAGUUGCCGGGCAGACCUCAAAGAUCGAUGCCUCUGAGGGAAUACUAAUUUUAAAAAGUAUUCAGCUCCUCAUCAGAUUUUGAGGAGUAUGGCACACUUUCAUUUCUCCCUGCACAUUAGCCAAAUUAAAUCAAAAUAAAUAUCAAUGAAAAUAUUGCA
rnacentral:lncRNA from 1 species